GACUACCAGGGUAUCUAAUCCUGUUUGCUACCCACGCUUUCGUGCCUCAGCGUCAGUUACAGUCCAGAAAGCCGCCUUCGCCACUGGUGUUCUUCCUAAUCUCUACGCAUUUCACCGCUACACUAGGAAUUCCGCUUUCCUCUCCUGCACUCCAGAUAUCCAGUUUGAAAUGCAGUCCCCGGGUUAAGCCCGGGGUUUUCACAUCCCACUUAAAUAUCCGCCUACGCACCCUUUACGCCCAGUAAAUCCGGACAACGCUCGCCACCUACGUAUUACCGCGGCUGCUGGCACGUAGUUAGCCGUGGCUUCCUCCUUUGGUACCGUCAUUAUCGUCCCAAAAGACAGGGCUUUACAAUCCGAAAACCUUCAUCACCCACGCGGCGUUGCUGCAUCAGGCUUUCGCCCAUUGUGCAAUAUUCCCCACUGCAGCCUCCCGUAGG
rnacentral:rRNA from 1 species